ensembl:lncRNA
CCAUCACCAGUAACCUCUCCCCUCACCACCCUCAGGGAAAACCGCUGCCAUUUCCUGCCCACCGCCUGCCCCACACAAUGGGGUGUUGCCCCAGGAUCUUGCUCCAGACAUAUCUUGUGGAUCAGCCCUGACAUGGGCACAUGAACAUGCUCUUGCCGGAUGGAUGUCUGCUGAGAUGGAAUGAGCCUGGGAGCCAUGACUACUGAGCCCGUGUGGCGAAACUACUGAAGUCCACAUGCCAUAGAGCCCAUGAUCUGCAACAAGAGAAGCCACCUCAAGGAGAAGCCCACACACUGCAACCGAGAGAAAGCCCAUGCAGCUACAGAGACCCAGCCCAGCCAAAAAUAAAUAAAAUUAUUUUAAAAAUU